GCAGGGGCGACACCGGAGUAAUGGGAGUUUUCUUCUUGCAAGACAUUCGCCGUGAAAACAAUUUGAUAUGAAGACAAGCCUUUGUUUUCAACUUUGUUUUAAAAUUUUCAAACAUGAGGCUGUUACGGCCCAGGUCAAUGUUCUUAAGCAACACAUAUUUUCCUUUCAUUUUGCUGUUAGCUUUCUGAUAUAAAUUUUUACAUAUUAUAGACUAUUAUGAUUCUUUUUUUUUUCAAUUUCAGUUAAACACUAUUUCUGAUUUGCUUUUAAAUAAAUUUUAACAUGUUUAAAUGUCUUUUUCUUUUUCUUCAUCUUUUUGAAACCCUGGUUUUGUAUUACCACUGACCAGUUCAGUAAAGAAACAGCUGCUUCAUGUUUGCAUAAAUGUGUUUGUAACCAAUCUAACAUGCUAUUAUUUCCUUAUUUUUUAUUCCGUGUCUAUAGAUAGUCUUCAUCGGGGAGGCAAGAUUUAUUUUGUCUGUUGGUUGCUUGGCUAGCGUAAGCUAAUCGAUUUACCUCACAUUUUGAAGUUGGAUGGAGAUUGUUUUUAAAUAAAUGCCGUACCUUUGUACUUUGGUUUCCUGUCGG
rnacentral:lncRNA from 1 species